rnacentral:rRNA from 1 species
UACGUAGGGUGCGAGCGUUGUCCGGAAUUACUGGGCGUAAAGAGCUCGUAGGUGGUUUGUCGCGUUGUUCGUGAAAACUCACAGCUCAACUGUGGGCGUGCGGGCGAUACGGGCAGACUGGAGUACUGCAGGGGAGACUGGAAUCCCUGGUGUAGCGGUGGAAUGCGCAGAUAUCAGGAGGAACACCGGUGGCGAAGGCGGGUCUCUGGGCAGUAACUGACGCUGAGGAGCGAAAGCGUGGGGAGCGAACAGG